rnacentral:rRNA from 1 species
UUACGGCCAUAUCACGUAGAACACACCGGUUCUCGUCCGAUUACCGAAGUUAAACAAUGUCGAGCCUGGUCAGUACUUAGAUGGGUGACCGCUUGGGAAUAUCAUGUGCUGUAG